ensembl:antisense 1700095B10Rik uncharacterized LOC110312996
AGCAUUCUGGACGGCUUGAUGCAGAAGCCAGGAUGGGGAAUUCUCAUAGCAUGGAGCAGUGGACGGUGGGGUUAGUGGUGCCUGGGGUUGAGAAGACCAUGGAGAGACACACAGAAGUGUAUCCGGCUUCCAGAACAUUCUAUAUCACAGGCAAUGUGCCCAUCAAAUCUGGACUUCAGCCACCCCAUGGUUCCCUUUAAAUGGUUCAUCUUCCUGAAAGAUCUGUGUGUGUUAUUAAGAAUUUAACAUCAAAAAAACACUUCUAAUCCAGAGCUGAUGGUGGAGAGAGGGACCCCAUAGGCAGCUCAUGGUUCCUACUCUGCUGGUUCUCCAGCAGCACCCUCGUGUCCUCCAGGUCCCAGGUGAGGUGGUGACACUUCCUCUUCAGUUGCUCUGUCCGGGCCUUCAUCUCCGAGUCCAACCUCUCCUCACACUGUUGAAGGCGCUUUCGUAGGAAAACAUUCUCCAUCUGAGCGCAGUCCAAACGCAUCUGCCACUCGUCCGCUGUGUGACAGAGUCAAUGGCUGCCUCCAUUCAGCAGAGAGAAUCCAUGUCACAGUGGGAACUGGGCAAAGAUGUCACUAUCCUAUCCAACCAGAAAGCCAAGUCCCUCGGCAGUGGUAUAACUGGUGCACUGAUGCUGCCUGCCUCUCACUGGGCAGUCACUCAGCCAGCCUCAACUUGAUCAUGUAUGUGAGAGCAUGCAGAGCCCGAAUUCCUCAUGGUGAAGAGGUAGCUGAUGGCUAUGGGUUAGUCUACUCCAUAUGGCCCGGCUCUGCAUACUCAUGGUCUGGAACCAUCUACAUUUGAAUGUGAGGAAUCUGAGACUCAGGGCAACUUUGAAUAGCAGGGUAUGAUUCAAAUACAGAGGGGAAAUUUAAAAACCUGGGUCAUCUUCAUUAAAUAGAAGAGUGUAACACA